rnacentral:rRNA from 1 species
UACGUAGGGUGCAAGCGUUGUUCGGAAUUACUGGGCGUAAAGGGCUCGUAGGCGGCCAACUAAGUCCGACGUGAAAUCCCAAGGCUUAACCUUGGAACUGCGUCGGAUACUGGAUGGCUUGAAUUCGGGGAGAGGGAUGCAGAAUUCCAGGUGUAGCGGUGAAAUGCGUAGAUAUCUGGAGGAAUACCGGUGGCGAAGGCGGCAUCCUGGGACCGACAUUGACGCUGAUGAGCGAAAAGCUAGGGGGAGCAAACGGG